rnacentral:rRNA from 1 species
GAGACUGGGAUAACACCUGGAAACAGAUGCUAAUACCGGAUAACAACACUAGACGCAUGUCUAGAGUUUAAAAGAUGGUUCUGCUAUCACUCUUGGAUGGACCUGCGGUGCAUUAGCUAGUUGGUAAGGUAACGGCUUACCAAGGCAAUGAUGCAUAGCCGAGUUGAGAGACUGAUCGGCCACAUUGGGACUGAGACACGGCCCAAACUCCUACGGGAGGCAGCAGUAGGGAAUCUUCCACAAUGGACGCAAGUCUGAUGGAGCAACGCCGCGUGAGUGAAGAAGGGUUUCGGCUCGUAAAGCUCUGUUGGUAGUGAAGAAAGAUAGAGGUAGUAACUGGCCUUUAUUUGACGGUAAUUACCUAGAAAGUCACGGCUAACUACGUGCCAGCAGCCGCGGUAAUACGUAGGUGGCAAGCGUUGUCCGGAUUUAUUGGGCGUAAAGCGAGUGCAGGCGGUUCAAUAAGUCUGAUGUGAAAGCCUUCGGCUCAACCGGAGAAUUGCAUCAGAAACUGUUGAACUUGAGUGCAGAAGAGGAGAGUGGAACUCCAUGUGUAGCGGUGGAAUGCGUAGAUAUAUGGAAGAACACCAGUGGCGAAGGCGGCUCUCUGGUCUGCAACUGGCGCUGAGGCUCGAAAGCAUGGGUAGCGAACAGGAUUAGAUACCCUGGUAGUCCAUGCCGUAAACGAUGAGUGCUAAGUGUUGGGAGGUUUCCGCCUCUCAGUGCUGCAG